GUGACAACAGUUAUGAAAAUGUAGUACCUGGUCCCUCACAAAAGAGGUCAAGAGAUGAAGAUGAUGAGGAUAAAAGGAAAUCAAACAUUUAAGAAAAAACAAUGAGAUCAUUGAUAGUAACAGUGAUGCUGAUGAUGAAGACCCACUACCUGGUCCCUCACCAAAAAGGGCAAAACAUGAAGAUGAUGAGAAUGAAUGGAAAUCCAAUCUGUUAA